UUAGCCACAUCCCAAACAAGCACAUUUUCAGUAACUAGAAGAUGUUACCUUUCAAACAAAGUCUCACACAUUUGCAGUUUUAUUAUACAUAACAAAGCUGCAAGGAUUUCCAUUUGGGUAUUCCAAAUAGGUUGGAAAAUUAAAUUGAUAUUUAAAUUCAUUUAGAUGUGCAACUAAAGAAAUAACAGAAAACAAACACAACUAAAAUUUCUCCCACUGUAUUUCGACUAGUUCAUGUUCAUUAUGUCAUGGGCACAUUUCCUGCAUAAACUGUAAAUGAAUUUAAGUUGUACUUAUCUCAAAUGUCCCUUAAGUUGUCAAAAAAUUAACUGAUACUUCUGACCUCACGCUGCAUAGCAUUCACACUGGAAUUAUCACCUUAUAUUUGGAAUUAUAAAAAGAUAUUACGAAACAAAGGUUGGUACCUGGUCCGUGUACGGAUCUGGUAAUUGCAUUUUCCGUUCUGAAACGUGUAUUGAAAAACAAAAAAUGAGUGGUUAUUUGAUUUUCGUUUUAAAAUACAAAAAUUAAAAUUGAAAUACAAGGCGUUUUUCCUUUUCAUGAUCAAAAAGGCAUAUACGAUUUUUUAAAAAUGCUUUGAUUUUCGUUUUAUAUUUAGAAUAACAAGAAAGUAAAAUCAGUAAGAGACAGAAACGAAAAAAGGUCCGUUUUUUCAUUUUCUGAGACCGGAAGUGGUCAUCAGCAAGUGUGGAGCCAAACAGAGUAUGGUGCAUAGACUGUAUAUAAAUUUUUUUCUUUAGUUUUCAUGGUCAAAAUGAGAGAUCAGGUGGCCGAUCUUAAAAUAAAUCUAUAUUGAUUUUUUUAUAGAGCGUUAAAGUUUUGCGAAGCCAGGGGGCGGGACUACUUGAUUGACAGUCCGGUCUGGAAUGAUUGACAGGUGCUAUGGAGGAGGCAGCAGAGACUCUGCUCUCCUCGUUUGGAUUAAUUCUGAUAUAAUAACUGUUGGUUUAUUUAUCAGUGGAGCAGCAGAACAUUUUCCACAGACAGUUUUCCUGCCCGUUGGCUUGUUUUAACCAGUUUUCUACCUUCGGCCGAUUCUACCAGCAGACACUGAAAGGACUCUGAUAGUUCGAGUGAAAGUAGCAGUUCCUCCUUAAGGUCAGAGAUUGCAGCAUCUGAGGGCCUCUUCAAAAGAAGACAUAGUUGAUGAAGGCGUUCUGGAGCAGGACCAGAAAGACCACGACCAAGCAGCCUUGAGAUCUUAGACAGCGUCUCCCUCAGGUCCCUCUCUGUCUCCCCACACAUCCACCAACCACUGGAACACAUCUCCAAAGUUCUGCCGGGCCAGCUCAGCUUCCCCUCAGAAGAAGUGCUGCCACCUGCCAGAUGAAGGAGCCUUUUGAGAGGCAGCUGGCAUCGUGAUUGGACUGUACUUUGGUCUGUUCCAAUCCAGCUUCAGCUCCAGACGGCAGGCAGGACGAGUCAACGGAGGCCGGGUGGACGAAGGCAUGCAGCUGAGUACAAUCCAGAAAACAGAGGAGGAGUGCAAACAGAGUAGCAUGGCAUGUCUCUUAGAAAACAUCAUAGUAUAGCCUUUGGUAUGAAAAAAUGCCAUCAUGUACAUCGUAUAUUGUACAAAUAACAAGUCAAAGGAAAGAAUUGUAGUAAUUGUGGGCUGACUGAUUUACUGAUCAUCAGUAUUUUAUUUUUUUUACUGAUUUACUGUAAUAAAUAAAUUUAAAAAUGGCGCUACUUUGGCUCUGAACCUUUAUCUACCUGUGGUCGCUCUGUCUUCUGGAGUGAUUUGGUUGGUUAUACGUCACGGAUAAAACUCCUUUAACUUAACAUCUGUAAACAAAACAAAAAUGUAUCAACAAAGUUUUCUGUUAGAGGUUGUGUUCUUUGAAGUUUAACUCCAAGAUUUUAAAUACUUUCAUUUACUGCAAAUGAAUAUCUACUCCAAAUGUCCCACUAAUAAUCAUUAUCAGCCUUAAAAACCCACAAAACACCCCUUUAUACUCGACCACACUUAGUACAGUCCGGUUCCCCCUUCUAUAAAUCUGCUUGGAAUCGUCCACUUCCUGUUUGUCAAAGUGGCCUUCUGCCUGGACAGGUUUUGUUGGAGCUCAUGCAACAAACAUUUUGGGUAACUGUACUUUAAUAUGGAUGGAUGACACUGAAUUAGAGUCUGUUUUCAUGAGACUGAGUUAAGAUGUGUAGCUCUGUCAUUAAAUACGAAAUUAUUUCUCAGAAUUCACAGAGAAAAGUCUGAAAUGUUUGCUAGGUUAGCGUCCCACAUGUUCUUUGGCUCAGCUAAAGCUAACUCUCUCCAACUUCUGGAUCUCUUGAGUUGCUUGUUGUUAAAAUUGCUGUAGGUGCUGAAGCUCAAAGUCUGAGAUGUUUGUUCAAAAUAAGCUCAUUCUCAAGUCUGAUCUGAACUGUCCUCAUUUGUUUGAACUUUCCCUAAACUUAGGAGUUAAUGACAGAGCAGCACAUCCAGACUCAGUCUCAUUUUUGUAGAGAUUAAACUUCAGUGUCAUUCACUGAUGUUAAAGUGCAGUUCUUCAAAUGUUUGUUGCACAUGCUCCCGACCAAACCAAUCCAGGUGGGAGACGAUGUGAAGAGAAAGCUCCAGAGGAUGAAUAUCACACAUUUACGUUGGAAAUAAAUGUCCUUUAAUUUGACAUUGUCAUGCAGGAGUUGGAUUUCCCUUUAAUGAUGUUCAAAUCUUUGUUGAGUGUUUUGUUGUUGGUUUCUACAUGUUUUUUGACACUCGGCCCCAAAGAUUAAAACCUUUUACGGCUCACAAGCUGCAACAGUCCACACGUUAUCAACUAUCUUUCUGACUAAACUAAGAUAAAAAGUGAAAAACUGUCUGAUUCCUGCAUCAUGAAUGUAAAUCUUUUUGGUUUUUAUGACAGUAAACUGAAUAUAUUUGUGUUUGACAUUUUAUAAACCAAAACAAUAAAUGAAUUACUGGAGAAAACAAUCAACAGAUUAAUGGACAAAGAAAAUGUGUUUUCCAACAUUACAAGAUACAUACAAUUUUAGUUCAAUUUUAUUUGUAUAACGCCAAUUACAGGUCAAAUUGUCUCAAGACGCUUUAUUUUUAUAUUUUUUUUGUCAUAUUUAAAAUAUGACAAAGUAAGAAAUUUAAACCUCUUGACUAAUCCAAUUUAUUAUUUGGUUUUUAAGAGACUAAUCGACAACUAAAAUAACUUUCUCUACUAAAACUAAUAAACAUGAGGUCAAAUAGAAGGAACUGUUUUAAAUACUACAGUCCCACGACGACAAGAAUAAAGUUUGUCAACAAAAACUAAAUCUGCUGGUGGAUUCCAUUAUAGUCCUAAUAAAUGAUAAUAAAGUGUGAUACUAAAGGUUUGUUGUGCUAAAAAUCUCAAAGAUAUCAAGUUGAACAUCUGGAUGGAGGUUGAUAAAAGUUGACCUCCCUUCAUUUCUCUGGAGCCGACUCCAUGGAUUUUAUGGAUGGUGGUUAAAGACCAACUCUUCUCGUGGUCUUCC